rnacentral:rRNA from 1 species
CCUACGGGAGGCAGCAGUGAGGAAUAUUGGUCAAUGGACGAGAGUCUGAACCAGCCAAGUCGCGUGAAGGAUGACUGCCCUAUGGGUUGUAAACUUCUUUUAUAUGGGAAUAAAAUGUUCCACGUGUGGGAUUUUGUAUGUACCAUAUGAAUAAGGAUCGGCUAACUCCGUGCCAGCAGCCGCGGUAAUACGGAGGAUCCGAGCGUUAUCCGGAUUGAUUGGGUUUAAAGGGAGCGUAGGUGGAUUGUUAAGUCAGUUGUGAAAGUUUGCGGCUCAACCGUAAAAUUGCAGUUGAAACUGGCAGUCUUGAGUACAGUAGAGGUUGGCGGAAUUCGUGGUGUAGCGGUGAAAUGCUUAGAUAUCACGAAGAACUCCGAUUGCGAAGGCAGCUCACUGGACUGCAACUGACACUGAGGCUCGAAAGUGUGGGUAUCAAACAGGAUUAGAUACCCGAGUAGUC